rnacentral:rRNA from 1 species
AGUAUUGCACAAUGGGCGCAAGCCUGAUGCAGCGACGCCGCGUGGGGGAUGAAGGNCUNNGGGUUNUNAACUCCUUUCGCUAUNNNNNAAGCCACUUGUAGUGACGGUAGGUAGAUAAGAAGCACCGGCUAACUCCGUGCCAGCAGCCGCGGUAAUACGUAGGGUGCAAGCGUUGUCCGGAAUUACUGGGCGUAAAGCUCUCGUAGGUGGUUUGUCGCGUCGUCUGUGAAAUCCCGGGGCUUAACUUCGGGCGUGCAGGCAAUACGGGCAUAACUUGAGUGCUGUAGGGGAGACUGGAAUUCCUGGUGUAGCGGUGAAAUGCGCAGAUAUCAGGAGGAACACCGAUGGCGAAGGCAGGUCUCUGGGCAGUUACUGACGCUGAGGACCGAAAGCAUGGGUAGCGAACA